AAAAACAUUGUCCCAUGAAUAAAAUAUGGGAUAAUACCUGCCCAGUGACACUUGUUCAACGGCCGCGGUAUCCUAACCGUGCAAAGGUAGCAUAAUAACUUGCCUAUUAAUUGUAGGCUAGAAUGAAGGGGUUAACGAAAUAAAGACUGUCUCAAUUAAUUAACUAAAAAUUAUUUUCUAUCUGAAGAAAGGUAGAUAAACUCGAAGGACAAGAAGACCCUAUAGAGCUUAAUUUUAACUAUAGGCCCACUCUAUAUAAAUAUUCGGUUGGGGCGACCCAGGGCUAAUUAAUCACCCACUAUAUAAAAGAUACAUUAAUCAAGCAAGUGACCCUUAAAGAUCACAAAAACAAGCUACCUUAGGGAUAACAGGCUAAUCCCACUUAAGAGUUCUUAUCAACAGUGGGGAUUGGCACCUCGAUGUUGGCUUAGGGUAUCUAUAUAGCGCAAAAGUUAUAUAAAGAUGGUUUGUUCAACCAAUGACACCCUACGUGAUC
rnacentral:rRNA from 1 species